UUUUUUGAUGUGUUGAUAUAACAACACUCGUGAACCGUUUAGGGGUAAACCUGAGAAACCCGAAAGGUCGAAGGGAGAAAUUCAUUCGCGUUUCGUCGCAGGCGUGCUUCGAUCGUGUGACGGAAGCGUUCGCGCUUUCCGCACCUUUAGUCGCGUCGAUCCGGCGACGAACGCGUGCACUUUUCUCCUGGUAGGACGUCGCGAUCCGUUGGGUGUCGGUCUAAGGUGAACGGUGGAGACCGCGAAUCGCGGCCUCGUGUCGUAGUUUGCGGACCCGUUUUUCCCGGCCGACUCGCUCGACGGUAUACGAAAGGUUUAAGGCCGCUCGCUCUACGAGCGUUCGACCCGCGACAAGCGCGCCAGCAGCCGUUGGCUAUCGGACCUGGUGCCGGUACCGACCUCUGGUGACUGUUGGUCGUGGUGUUCUCGAACCGACCUUUUUCGAAACCGAUCUGCGACGCUAUAGCUUUGGGUACUUUCAGGACCCGUCUUGAAACACGGACCAAGGAGUCUAGCAUGUGCGCGAGUCAUUGGGAAUUACUAAACCUAAAGGCGUAAUGAAAGUAAAGGUUCGUCUCGCACGGACCGAGGGAAGAUGGGCGAUUUACCCUUAAAAGUGGUCGCUCCGCAUUCCCGGGGCGUCUCGUUCUCAUCGCGAGAAGAGGCGCACCAAGAGCGUACACGCUGGGACCCGAAAGAUGGUGAACUAUGCCUGGUCAGGACGAAGUCAGGGGAAACCCUGAUGGAGGUCCGUAGCGAUUCUGACGUGCAAAUCGAUCGUCGGAACUGGGUAUAGGGGCGAAAGACUAAUCGAACCAUC
rnacentral:rRNA from 1 species